GACGAACGCUGGCGGCGUGCUUAACACAUGCAAGUCGAACGAAGAGCGAUGGAAGCUUGCUUCUAUCAAUCUUAGUGGCGAACGGGUGAGUAACGCGUAAUCAACCUGCCCUUCAGAGGGGGACAACAGUUGGAAACGACUGCUAAUACCGCAUACGAUCCGACCUCGGCAUCGAGGAUGGAUGAAAGGUGGCCUCUAUUUAUAAGCUAUCACUGAAGGAGGGGAUUGCGUCUGAUUAGCUAGUUGGAGGGGUAACGGCCCACCAAGGCAAUGAUCAGUAGCCGGUCUGAGAGGAUGAACGGCCACAUUGGGACUGAGACACGGCCCAGACUCCUACGGGAGGCAGCAGUGGGGAAUCUUCCGCAAUGGACGAAAGUCUGACGGAGCAACGCCGCGUGAGUGAUGACGGCCUUCGGGUUGGAAAGCUCUGUUAAUCGGGACGAAAGGUCUUCUUGCGAAUAGUUAGAAGAAUUGACGGUACCGGAAUAGAAAGCCACGGCUAACUACGUG
rnacentral:rRNA from 1 species